AUUGAACGCUGGCGGCAUGCUUUACACAUGCAAGUCGAACGGUAACAGGCCGCAAGGUGCUGACGAGUGGCGAACGGGUGAGUAAUGCAGCGGAACGUGCCCAGUCGUGGGGGAUAACGCAGCGAAAGCUGUGCUAAUACCGCAUACGAUCUAUGGAUGAAAGCGGGGGACCGUAAGGCCUCGCGCGAUUGGAGCGGCCGAUGUCAGAUUAGGUAGUCGGUGGGGUAAAGGCCUACCAAGCCGACGAUCUGUAGCUGGGCUGAGAGGACGACCAGCCACACUGGGACUGAGACACGGCCCAGACUCCUACGGGAGGCAGCAGUGGGGAAUUUUGGACAAUGGGCGCAAGCCUGAUCCAGCAAUGCCGCGUGCAGGAAGAAGGCCUUCGGGUUGUAAACUGCUUUUGUACGGGACGAAACGGUCCGGGUUAAUACCCUGGGCUAAUGACGGUACCGUAAGAAUAAGCACCGGCUAACUACGUGCCAGCCGCCGCCGUAACAC
rnacentral:rRNA from 1 species